UACGAGGGGUGCGAGCGUUGCUCGGAAUUGAUUGGGCGUAAAGGGUAGGUAGGUGGUCUCAUUUGUCUGAGGUGAAAGCCUUGAGCUUAACUCAAGAAGUGCCUUAGAAACGGUGGGACUUAGAGUCCUGGAGAGGGUCGUGGAAUUCCCGGUGUAGCGGUGAAAUGCGUAGAGAUCGGGAGGAACACCAGAGGCGAAGGCGACGACCUGGGCAGGCACUGACACUCAACUACGAAAGCAUGGGUAGCAAACAGGAAUUAGAA
rnacentral:rRNA from 1 species